GGUUGCGGACAUAUCAUAACGGAGAGGUAUCGUAAUUGAAGAGGUUUGGAAAGACCCACCACAGAAGGUAAUAGUCCUGUAUGUUAAACGAGAAGACUUUAGAUAUGAUCCAGAGUACCACGGGACACGUGAAACCCUGUGGGAAGCAGGAGGGACCACCCUCCAAGGCUAAAUACUACCUAGUGACCGAUAGCGUAUAGUACCGUGAGGGAAAGGUGAAAAGAACCCCGGGAGGGGAGUGAAAUAGAACCUGAAACCCUGCACUUACAAGCUGUGGAAGCACAUUUCUUGUGUGACCGCGUACUUUUUGUAGAACGGGCCAACGAGUUACGUUAAGUAGCAAGGUUAAGCACUUAAGGUGCGGAGCCGUAGCGAAAGCGAGUUUUAACUGAGCGUUCAGUUACUUGACGUAGACCCGAAACCGGGCGACCUACCCAUGAGCAGGAUGAAGCGAAAGUAAAAUUUCGUGGAGGUCCGAACCCACGAGCGUUGAAAAGCUCGGGGAUGACUUGUGGGUAGCGGUGAAAUUCCAAUCGAGCCCGGAGAUAGCUGGUUCUCCCCGAAAUAGCUUUAGGGCUAGCCUCAAGGUGAGAGAUACGGAGGUAGAGCACUGAAUGUCCUAGGGGGUAUUGCACCUACCGAAGACUAUCAAACUCCGAAUGCCGUCAUCUUAUACUUGGGAGUCAGACUGUGGGUGAUAAGAUUCAUAGUCGAAAGGGCAACAGCCCAGAUCGUCAGCUAAGGUCCCUAAAUGUAAGUUAAGUGGUAAAGGAUGUGGGAUUGCACAGACAACCAGGAUGUUGGCUUAGAAGCAGCCACUCAUUCAAAGAGUGCGUAAUAGCUCACUGGUCGAGUGAUCCUGCGCCGAAGAUUUCCGGGGCUAAAACUUACUACCGAAGCUACGGCAUCAGUAAUGAUGGGUAGGGGAGCUUCCCAUACGGGUUGAAGCAUGACCGUAAGGACAUGUGGACAGUAUGGGAGUGAGAAUGUUGGCAUGAGUAGCGAGAUGUGGGUGAGAAUCCCACAGGCCGUAAACCCAAGGUUUCCAGGGGAAGGUUCGUCCGCCCUGGGUUAGUCGGGACCUAAGCUGAGGCCGAAAGGCGUAGGUGAUGGACAACAGGUUGAUAUUCCUGUAC
rnacentral:rRNA from 1 species